GAUGAAGCCAUUGGAGAAAGUUAUAUGUGCCGUACAAUGCCAAAAUGCAUAGCUAGCUAGCUGCAUAUUGUCAAUCAUGUUGUACGUACCAGCCAAUGACGCACAGCCGAUGACCUCAGAUACUUUCUAGAGCGUUUAAAUCCCAACCACAUAAAAAAAUAAAAUAAAAUAAAAAAUUACAGUGCAAUAAAACCACACCCACGUCGGCUGCUCAAACAAAGGAUCCCUCAAACAAAGGAGCCCUUGAGGAGUACUGCAAAGUUGAGCACAACCAUAUAAGCCAGUUAGUGCCCAUUUGGCCCCAUCAGCGUACGUAGAUAUAUAAAUACAUGAUUGAAGGCCGAUGUAUGUUCUAAAAGAUGGAAGCCGGCCAAGAAGAUAAACAGAACUUUGCUGCUGAUCUCUCUCUCUCUCUCUCUCUCUCUCUCUCUCUCUCUCUCUCAAAUUAAGAGUCCAAGCAUAGCUCCUGCAAGGUUUCAAUAUCCGGCCAUCACAAACAGCAGCUAGCUAGCUAGCGCUGAAAGGUUCGCUACGCAGGAGAGAUGGCGCCGUCACCCAAAUCUAUGUAUAUCCUUUCGGAAUUGGGAUUAGGGGGCCGGCAUCAUUUAUCCUGCAUAGGAAACCUUUCACGCUCAAGAAGUGAUCUCACGUACGUACGUAUAUAUGUAAUUUUAAGAGCUUUUGGUGCAGGA